GCCGAGAUGAAAAUGCGAAUGGCCCUAUAGAGUUGUUUGGUCUGUCCGUUCUGGGCUACUGUAGAAACAUGGCGGCCGGCUCCGUGAAGAUGACCCGCUCAGUAUGUAGAUAUUAAUGGCUUAUUCUAA